AUGACUUCGAACAUUUCUCUGGAAUCCACUGAUGUUGACACUAGUCACAAGAUUGAAAAAACAAAGUCAUGCAACGGAGUGCAGCGACCAGGCGACAGUUACCUGAACAUUCUGGUGGCACCAACAGUGAAUGAUGAGAUGAUGAUGGUGGAGCUGCUAUUGGCUUCUAUGUAUGUUACCAGCCGGGACUGUGUGAAGGAACACCAGUUCCUAGCGGAAGAAAGACGUGGG